GAAUUGACGAUGAAAGGGACAGUACAAUUUUCAAAGGAGUUUUAAGCAGCGAGCCAGGGAUGGUGGAAGCCUGGUAAAGCUCGAAAAUUGGAAAAUCACCCUUGAGUUCUGAGGUCGAACUUCUAAAGAAAAGUAGACUGAUGCGUGUAAUUCACGUUACGAAUGAUAAAGAGGAUGGAAUGAAGUUCCAUCUAUCAGGGUGGUACCGCGGGAAAAACCUUCUCGUCCCUAUA
rnacentral:ncRNA from 1 species